rnacentral:tRNA from 1 species
CAGGUGUAGUUCAAUGGUAGAACUUCAGCCUUCCAAGCUGACUACGUGGGUUCGAUUCCCACUACCUG